rnacentral:rRNA from 1 species
AACGAACGCUGGCGGCAGGCCUAACACAUGCAAGUCGAGCGGACCCUUCGGGGUUAGCGGCGGACGGGUGAGUAACGCGUGGGAAUAUGCCCUUCUCUACGGAAUAGUCCUGGGAAACUGGGGGUAAUACCGUAUACGCCCUUUGGGGGAAAGAUUUAUCGGGGAAGGAUUAGCCCGCGUUGGAUUAGGUAGUUGGUGGGGUAAUGGCCUACCAAGCCGACGAUCCAUAGCUGGUUUGAGAGGAUGAUCAGCCACACUGGGACUGAGACACGGCCCAGACUCCUACGGGAGGCAGCAGUGGGGAAUCUUAGACAAUGGGGGCAACCCUGGUCUAGCCAUGCCGCGUGAGUGAUGAAGGCCUUAGGGUUGUAAAGCUCUUUCAGCUGGGAAGAUAAUGACGGUACCAGCAGAAGAAGCCCCGGCUAACUCCGUG